rnacentral:rRNA from 1 species
AACGAACGCUGGCGGCAUGCCUAACACAUGCAAGUCGAACGAGACCUUCGGGUCUCGUGGCGCACGGGUGCGUAACGCGUGGGAACCUGCCAUUAGGUUCGGAAUAACUCCCCGAAAGGGGUGCUAAUACCGGAUAAUGUCUUCGGACCAAAGAUUUAUCGCGUUUGGAUGGGCCCGCGUUUGAUUAGCUAGUUGGUAGGGUAAAAGCCUACCAAGGCGACGAUACAUAGCUGGUCUGAGAGGAUGAUCAGCCACACUGGGACUGAGACACGGCACAGACUCCUACGGGAGGCAGCAGUGGGGAAUAGUGGACAAUGGGCGAAAGCCUGAUCCAGCAAUGCCGCGUGAGUUAUGAUGGCCUUAGGGUAGUAAAGCUUUGUUACCCGGGAUGAUAAUGACAGUACCGGGAGAAUAAGCUCCGGCUAACUCCGUG